ACUCCUACGGGAGGCAGCAGUGGGGAAUAUUGCACAAUGGGCGCAAGCCUGAUGCAGCCAUGCCGCGUGUAUGAAGAAGGCCUUCGGGUUGUAAAGUACUUUCAGCAGUGAGGAAGGUGGAGUCGUUAAUAGCGGCCUCAUUUGACGUUAGCUGCAGAAGAAGCACCGGCUAACUCCGUGCCAGCAGCCGCGGUAAUACGGAGGGUGCGAGCGUUAAUCGGAAUUACGUGGGCGUAAAGCGCAUGCAGGUGGUUUGUUAAGUCAGAUGUGAAAGCCCGGGGCUCAACCUCGGAAUAGCAUUUGAAACUGGCAGACUAGAGUACUGUAGAGGGGGUAGAAUUUCAGGUGUAGCGGUGAAAUGCGUAGAGAUCGUGAAGGAAUACCGGUGGCGAAGGCGGCCCCUGGACAGAUACUGACACUCAGAUGCGAAAGCGUGGGAGC
rnacentral:rRNA from 1 species